ensembl:lncRNA
CUCAUAGCUGAAGAUAGUCUUUAAUGAUUUGACCUUGGUGUCUCUCCUUGCUAGGACAAAAGUUAACCUGCAAAAAUGAAGGAACAACAUACAGUUUACAGAGAACAUACCAUGUUAAACCGAUUCCCCAUCCAUUUAAAAGUAGAUUUAUUCCAGCGCUACUACAUACAUUAUGUGGCAGUGUACACAGGACAAUGAUGCUUUUACAUUUCUUUUUUUUCACGUUUCGGGGUUUGUCACUUUGUAAUAUUUUUUUUGUUUGUUUGGCAGAAGUACCUUCUGAUGCUCUACGUUUCAAAGCCUACUUUUUUUUGGAUAGUAAAAGAUUCUCGGGUGCGUUUUUAUCUCGUAUCUACUACCAACGUCAUGAAUGUCCCUCGCUUCACAAUGGUCAUGUAGUUGUUGUCGUUGUGUUGUUUUUAUACAUUUUAUUAAUUUUUUAUUCAUGUUUGUUUUUUUUCAAGAGGAAAAAAAAUAUCAGGACACUAUUGAUAUUUCAUUUUCUGGAAUGGUGUUUGGGCAGUUCUUUGUUGGUGACGAUAAUGGAGGGAUGGGAAAGAAAGUUCAUUUGGAAAGAAAAGGAACCCAAUCGGGCAGAUAGGAAAUGAAACCUGACUCAUACCUCAUUUAGUAGAAAAGAAGAAUCUAGGACAAAACCUGUACCAUCCCUCCCCUAACGUGAGAGUGAUCAUUUUGUGGUAUUUUUACUGCAUAUCUGCUCAACGCGGAGUCUCCCCACCUCGCCCCCCGGUGCUCGGCCAUUUGUCCCGCUUGUUCUGUGACAUCAACAAUGAGGUCAUAUUCACGGGACACUCGCUCUCUCGCUGCUCCACACUCCCAGGAGCUCAGAUGGACAUCUGUCUCCUAAUGAGCCAGGGCUGUCUUCUUAUGUGCUGCCUUCCUCUUUUCAUCCUCUCCCGUCUCUCUGUCUCCCCCUCUCUCUAUUUAUCGAAUUGCUCUCUCUCUCUCUCUCUCCCUCUCCCUCUCUCUCAUUCUCUCUAUCUCUCUCUUUUGGGGCUCCCCCUCUCUAUCUUUUUCUCUCUCUCUCUCUCUCUCUCUCUCUCUCUCUCUCUCUCUCUCUCUCUCUCUCUCUCUCUCUCCCCGCCCUCUCGACCCCCCCUCCACCUAAACGGGGAGGUCCUCACCGGAUGCCUCAGAGGGAGCCUCUCCCUCAGUCCAUUAGUGUAUUCUAUGGUCUCAGCUGGAGGUCAUUCCACUGAGGAACCCGUCAUGCACUGGAUGCUAAUGGUCACCUAAUGAUGACUGAUGAGCUACAACAGGGCCAACGUCCCUCCUGAUGUAGCGGUAACAGAGACACCAGAGGGAGCAUAUCGCUAUUUAACACCAGUCACGUGAGGGGACAUUAUCGGGCCGAGGCGCUCCCGGUUCCCACACACUCGGCCCACCUGAUGCACUCACUGCCUGGGCGGAGGAUUGUGAUUGGACCCCCCUUCAGAGGAGAGGGGUGGAGCAGAGAGGAGGAGGAGGUGAGAGGGGGUGGAGCAGAGAGGAGGAGGAGGUGAGAGGGGUGGAGCAGAGAGGAAGAGGAGGUGAGAGGGGUGGAGCAGAGAGGAGGAGGAGGUGAGAGGGGUGGAGCAGAGAGGAGGAGGAGGUUGGCAGGGAGGCUGUAAGAACGCAUGCUUCAUUUAUUCAAGUUGAAAAGAGAAAGGAGGAGAAGAAAAAGGCCAGGAAGAAAAGAAGAAAAUUAAUAAAGACUCAUGCUUGAUUAGGCACCAUUCACCACAAACUAAAUACGUUGUUAAAUGAAGAGCUCUCUUUGGCUGCCAUGGAACCACUGGUGUAGCGGUGGCGGUGGUAGUGGGCACCCUCUCACUCUCCUUCACCUCCCUCACUCCUACUCUCUCGUCACUACUCCCCCACUGACUCACCAGGGCUGCCUGUGGCCAGCCAGAGGAACUGAGCUCCUAUUUCUGUCCAUCGGCUUUAGGGGCGAAUGAAACAUCUUCUCACAUGUUAUGUCUGUCUGGGGCAUGAGGGACUUAAGGGCUUUAUUUCACUUUCUUUACUAAGAUGCCUACCAUAUAAACUACUGUGACGACAGCAUGCUUCACCCCAUAAUUCACCCAUUUCGUCCUCAUUUUCAACGAGCAACACACGUUGGAUUUGAAUGUUUUUUAAAUUGAAAUUAGUUUGAAUUUAUCAAAACACUAGGUUGAGACGUUUACCAUGCAGUCGGUUGGUUCAUGAUUCAAGUAUUUUUUCUUUAUAUAUAUUAUCCAUCAUUUACCCUGUUCCUUGUUUAAAAAAAAUAUAUACUAACAUGGAGAACAGAUUUGUGCCCUCCAAUUCCAUUUCAACGUGGACCGGUUAACUGUUGUCUCUUGUUCUCUCUGUUUGGCUCUUUAUCGUUUCAGGGGAGAUCUGAAGAGUAACUGGAGGCAAAGGGUUAUUCACAACAACACCUGUUAGCAACUGCCAGUUCUGGAAUUUGUUCAUUUGAUCCCUAGAGGAGACCACAAGCUGUUAAAAAACGUAGAAACCUGCUAAAAUGACGACUUACUGUUUCUUACUGACUGAGUUCAUUGUUGAUCAAUGAAACCACUUAGCUGAAUAUGGGGAUUCAAGUUGAGGUCAGCCUUUCGCUAACCGUUAGCCUGAUAUGACAUUAUGUGCCAAUUUCACAUGCUUCAAGUUUCCACAAUUAGGUUCAUCAACACUUAAAAACAAAAAACACAUUGCAUUAAUAGCAUUAACAAAUAAAAAAUUUGAACCACGAAUUAAGUAUUUUUCAGCGAAUUAGCUUUACACCUUGUUAUCAAUUUAGUUUCUAAAAAGAAUAACAAUAAAAGCUAUUGCACCCAUGAUCUUACAUCAGUCAAUUAAUUAACUCGCCUAUGGUCAUUUAACGUGGCAAAUAGAUGAGUUAUUCUAUCGUUAUGUAUCCAAAACAGCUACUAGAAAUAUUAUAUCAUAUUCAGCCUCAUUGUUCUACAACCUCAUUGUAGAACAAAUUCAUUUGGCGAGAGUAGUUGGUACACACGAGUCAAUUGCUUAUUUGGGCACCAAAUGGAGGUUUUAGUCUUUCCAACAGUAAGCGGUGGACAGCGACAUGUUUACAACAGCAUUCACAGAGACCUCGUACCUCCUGGAACACGAACAACAAGUCAUCAUUUCAGCUAGCUUCACUCAGAUCUCUUUUGGCCGAUGGGUCCAAUCCGCUCUAAUGAAAGCUAACCACUAAAGAAGGAGAAUGCUAAGGGGAGUGUGGUUUAUUGACGUCAAGCUCAGGCUCUCUAGAAAUCCAAGUCAUCUAAUAAAAAUAGAAAAUAACAAAAAAUACUACGGAAUAGCAGUUUAAAAGCCACAAAUCAAGCACAAUAAUAAAAAUAAACUGAAUCAGAAUGUAAAUCAUCAAGACUUCCAAAUGUAUUCGAUUUGUUCCUGCCAUGUCUGGUUUCCCCAGAGACAUGCAACAGAGGGGGGGGGUGGGGUUGGGGGGUGGUUUAGCUCUCGGUUCGGUGCCUAGCGUCGCAUUUAUCCCCCUUCAGGCCCUGCCACCAUCUUAAGGCCAGUGGAAGCUCUGAUUUGUGGUAGUUAAAAACGUAAACUUCAUAUUUAUUUUGAAAUAACUACGUGUAGUAAGUAGGUGUGCAGCAUGGAGCUAGGAACUCACUCCUAAACUAAAACUACUAGUCGUCCAUCUUUGUUUGUUUGUUUCCCUCGAUUUUUCUGCCUUUGUCCUAUCCUUUUUAAUGUGUUAGUAUCAAUACAAAAAAACCAAAAAACAAAGAAAGUUUUUCAAAAAACGUCUGGAGUCACUGUGUGUGUGUGUUUGUGAUGGAGGCAAUGCUAUGCGAUACAUUAAGACAUUUUUCAUCGAGUUUUUGGAAAGGAAUGUAUCUGAAAAAGGAAUGCAAUGCUUGUAUUCAGACUGUUAACAUCGUAAAAAAGCUCUGAAAUUAGUAAUUAAAUAACCCUCUACUAUUUAUACAUUCAGGCACUGAAAAAUCACAUGUCAAUAUGUAACUAAAAAAGAUAGUCGCUCUCAACUUUCCCUUGGUAAGAACAAGGAAACUGAAACCUUGAAGUUGGCAAUUGUGUAAAUUUUCCUACUCAGUAGUAAUGCCAGACUCAUCCCACUGCAGCUCUCUCCAUGUUCUGAUGGGGAGCUCACCUCCUCCCCUGGCGUGGCACGCCGGCCCUCUCGCUCUCUUCCCGUCGCUGCCUCCCGGCCGCUGCCCCGGCCCGCGGCACGGGGUCGAAUCCGUUGCGAGGCGCGGUCCUUCUUCAAAUGGAACAUCAGGUGUUUCCGCCGUAACCUCCCUUCCCCCUUCUAGCCAAAUAAGCAGAUGGACGGACGGAGGGACGGACGGAUGCAGGGGUCCUCUAUCCUUCCCUGGACACGGGAGGGGGGCCAGAUGGGGCCGAGGCUCUCUCUCCCUCCCUCUCCCUCCCUCUCCCUCCCUCCCCUCAGACCAGACUCCAGGGGGGGCUCUCGGGUGUGACAGCCAGCUCUCACCCCAGCAACCCUGCACUCACUCUCAGUCUUCUGUAACUAUACAAGGGCUUUUACAAAAAAGCUAACUUGGACAGCCAUACAAUGGCUAAAACAUAAACCAUAUCUCUACUUUAUCUCGGUUUGUCAAAGUUGUCAAAGUUAUUUUCGUAAGCUUCUGUAUUUUUUUGUUUCUUUGUUUUUUUCAAUGUUGUGUUUUUUGUUGCGUCUGUCUACGCGUAUGUGAUUCUGUGUUUGUUUGGAGUUGUGGUGUGCUGUGCUGUGUGUCUGUGUGCAUGUGUGUGUGCUUAGGCAUUUAUUUGUGUGUGUGUGUGUGUGUGUCAGUGCAUGCUUGCGCGCGUGAUCUUAAAUGAAGUCUUUCCUUGUUUGUUAGCUCGGAGCCGGAGCUCCAGAGAUGUGCCGAGACCCAGAACAGCCAGCAGACCCAGCAGGCCCAGCAGGCCCAGCAGGCCCAGCAGGCCCAGCAGGCCCAGCAGACCCAGCAGGCCCAGCAGGCCCAGCAGACUCCGGGAGGGAGAUCUGUAGAGGAGGGGUGGGGGGAGAGAAUCCCACCCAGAGUCCAGGAUCCAGGGUCAAGGGUCAGGGGUCGUUUCCAUAAGGAUCCAUCACAGGGCCAGGGCGGGGAGUGUUGGGCGGG